UUCAAUUUUAUAUUCAAAAUUGAGGUUUUGUGAUGCAUUUGGUGCGAUCAUAGAGAAAUGUAUUAACAAAUUGGUGCAAAUCUCGACAAGUGUUUUUGAACAUAACCGUGAACUUCUUCAUGACUCUCAUCAAUAUUUACGACACGACCCAAGAUCGAGACACGCGUUAUUUGAUAUGGACAGCAUUGCUGUGAACAAUGAUGUAGCAAAACAAAAAAAUACGUAUAUAAACUUGCUUUCACGAAUUUGUGAAAUAUAUGUACCACAGGUGGCUCAUUUGCACUAAUAAUUAGUUUAUUUUUCAAUUAAGAUAAAGUAAAGUGUUUUGUUGGAUUCUUAUGAAGUAUUUAGUUUGAUGUUGUGCGAGGAACGAAAACUGGAUGUGGUCAAGUUCGUUGCGUUGUGAAAUGUGGAAAAAAAGUAAAUGUAUUGAUAACUGGUAUUGCAGUUUAAAAGUCCGCGAAUUCUUCAAUAAACAUGUCUCCCCUCUUAUUCGGUCGGUAAGAGCUGCUGAAAAUUGAGAUUUUUACCAUGAAUUCCUCUGUUGGAAACCGUGCCUUAUGCACGUGGGUCCGCAUUAUUUUUGUGCAAGUACUUGAAUGCAUGCAUGCAGGCAGCAUGCGUGUCCUCUGGUCCAUCCAGUCAGUGGGUUCGCAGAGCGUGAAAAGAAACUAAAGCGAAACGUGUAAUAAAUGCACAAAGAGAUCUGCACGCCAUGAGAGGAAGGAAUGAAAGAGUGUGAGAGAGAGAGAUGAUGAAGAGGAGAAAGGAGGGAAAGAGAAAAAUAGGAGUCCACGAAAAACUGGUUUUGUGCAUACGGUUGCAGUUAUUCGAUUACGCCAGAGUGCAAUGCCGCCUAUGCUGAAUGCAUCUCGAGAAAGAAGGAAAGAGAAAGAGGUGUAAGGAAAAGAAAAAAAAAAUGGCAGAGUGAAAGAGCGGAGAAAGAAGAGUAACGAGGAGGAGAUGAAGAAGAAAGUCCUUCGAAACGAGCGAACCAAAAAAAUAAAUAAAGAGAGGAACGUCCAUCCUUUUCCUUUGUCAUCAAAUUGGGUCAUGGGAGAUCGGGUUCUCUCUGUGUUCUUUGUUGGACCAACAGUAGUAGCAGUAGAGUAGGGCGAACAUUUUUAUCUAGGAGGACUAGGGACCGACCCUUUUUCACACUAUAACCACACCCAUCGUGGGAAACCCAUGUGCUCUUUGUGUGUGUGCGUGUUUAUGUAAGUGCACGUUCGAAUUUUUAUUUUCCGAAAAAACCCCAAUGGUUUGCUUCUUCUGCCUCUUCGUCAGAGCUCGAGCUUUCCAUUUUGCUAGUAGUUUCCGUGCGACAGCCGAGCCGGCAUAUCAAAAGCGCAGCCAUCCAUCCAUCCAACGGGUCUCGACCAUCAUCAUCAUCCUGUACGUGCAGUGCAGCAGUUUCGAUACAGUUUCAUUAAACCUAGAAGAAAGAUGCGUGUGUACCAGGACGACAUAAAGGAUGAGAAGAAGGUCUUUCGCGCGCUCCCUCUGGAAGUUUUGUUUCCACUUGGCCGGUGGCCGUCUUUUAACCCGUUUGUACCCGUACAUCCGAACUUGUGUGUUAUUCCGUCGCAA